UGAACGCUGGCGGCGUGCUUAACACAUGCAAGUCGAACGAACCUUCGGGUUAGUGGCGGACGGGUGAGUAACGCGUGAGAAUCUGCCCUCAGGAGGGGGAUAACAGCUGGAAACGGCUGCUAAUACCCCAUAUGCCGCGAGGUGAAAUGAAUUUCGCCUGAGGAUGAGCUCGCGUCUGAUUAGCUAGUUGGUGUAGGUAAUGGCUCACCAAGGCAUCGAUCAGUAGCUGGUCUGAGAGGAUGAUCAGCCACACUGGGACUGAGACACGGCCCAGACUCCUACGGGAGGCAGCAGUGGGGAAUUUUCCGCAAUGGGCGAAAGCCUGACGGAGCAACGCCGCGUGAGGGAUGAAGGCCUCUGGGCUGUAAACCUCUUUUAUCAAGGAAGAAGAUCUGACGGUACUUGAUGAAUAAGCCACGG
rnacentral:rRNA from 1 species